rnacentral:rRNA from 1 species
GCUGGCGGCAGGCUUAACACAUGCAAGUCGAGCGGGCGUAGCAAUACGUCAGCGGCAGACGGGUGAGUAACGCGUGGGAACAUACCUUUUGGUUCGGAACAACACAGGGAAACUUGUGCUAAUACCGGAUAAGCCCUUACGGGGAAAGAUUUAUCGCCGAAAGAUUGGCCCGCGUCUGAUUAGCUAGUUGGUGAGGUAACGGCUCACCAAGGCGACGAUCAGUAGCUGGUCUGAGAGGAUGAUCAGCCACAUUGGGACUGAGACACGGCCCAAACUCCUACGGGAGGCAGCAGUGGGGAAUAUUGGACAAUGGGCGCAAGCCUGAUCCAGCCAUGCCGCGUGAGUGAUGAAGGCCCUAGGGUUGUAAAGCUCUUUUGUGCGGGAAGAUAAUGACGGUACCGCAAGAAUAAGCCCCGGCUAACUUCGUGCCAGCAGCCGCGGUAAUACGAAGGGGGCUAGCGUUGCUCGGAAUCACUGGGCGUAAAGGGUGCGUAGGCGGGUCUUUAAGUCAGGGGUGAAAUCCUGGAGCUCAACUCCAGAACUGCCUUUGAUACUGAAGAUCUUGAGUUCGGGA